rnacentral:rRNA from 1 species
GCAUAACGCGAAGAACCUUACCAAGGCUUGACAUACACGAGAACGGGCCAGAAAUGGUCAACUCUUUGGACACUCGUGAACAGGUGGUGCAUGGUUGUCGUCAGCUCGUGUCGUGAGAUGUUGGGUUAAGUCCCGCAACGAGCGCAACCCUCGUCGCAUGUUGCCAGCACGUUAUGGUGGGGACUCAUGUGAGACUGCCGGGGUCAACUCGGAGGAAGGUGGGGAUGACGUCAAAUCAUCAUGCCCCUUAUGUCUUGGGCUUCACGCAUGCUACAAUGGCCGGUACAAAGGGCUGCGAUGUCGUAAGGCGGAGCGAAUCUCAAAAAGCCGGUCUCAGUUCGGAUUGAGGUCUGCAACUCGACCUCAUGAAGUCGGAGUCGCUAGUAAUCGCAGAUCAGCAACGCUGCGGUGAAUACGUUCCCGGGUCUUGUACACACCG